rnacentral:tRNA from 1 species
GUCGAUUUGGUGUAGUAUCGCAUGGUGAUUUUUCGUAUCUCCGGGUUCUUUUGGAAAUUCGAUG